rnacentral:rRNA from 1 species
CAAACUGGAGAUGGCGACCGGCGCACGGGUGAGUAACACGUAUCCAACCUGCCGAUAACUCGGGGAUAGCCUUUCGAAAGAAAGAUUAAUACCCGAUGGCAUAAUAGAACCGCAUGGUUUGAUUAUUAAAGAAUUUCGGUUAUCGAUGGGGAUGCGUUCCAUUAGGCAGUUGGCGGGGUAACGGCCCACCAAGCCUUCGAUGGAUAGGGGUUCUGAGAGGAAGGUCCCCCACAUUGGAACUGAGACACGGUCCAAACUCCUACGGGAGGCAGCAUG